rnacentral:rRNA from 1 species
AUUGAACGCUGGCGGCAGGCCUAACACAUGCAAGUCGAACGGUAACAGGAAGCAGCUUGCUGCUUUGCUGACGAGUGGCGGACGGGUGAGUAAUGUCUGGGAAACUGCCUGAUGGAGGGGGAUAACUACUGGAAACGGUAGCUAAUACCGCAUAACGUCGCAAGACCAAAGAGGGGGACCUUCGGGCCUCUUGCCAUCGGAUGUGCCCAGAUGGGAUUAGCUAGUAGGUGGGGUAACGGCUCACCUAGGCGACGAUCCCUAGCUGGUCUGAGAGGAUGACCAGCCACAAUGGAACUGAGACACGGUCCAGACUCAUACGGGAGGCACCAGUGGGGAAUAUUGCACAAUGGGCGCAAGCCUGAUGCAGCCAUGCCGCGUGUAUGAAGAAGGCCUUCGGGUUGUAAAAUACUUUCAGCGGGGAGGAAGGGAGUAAAGUUAAUACCUUUACUCAUUGACGUUACCCACAGAAGAAGCACCGGCUAACUCCGUG